ACUACGGAAGCCGGAUUUAAAACCGCUCACCUGCAUUGCGGACGGGAGGAAGGUGUUUUUUAUUUCCGUAAAAAAAAUAACGAAAUUCACUUACACGGGAGACGACAAGCGCAUUCUUUGACAUACACCGAAUAAUACGAGAAAAUGAAUGAAACGUCAUACAAGCUGGCCGAACGUCUGGUCCCCACGACCUACCUCCACCAGGCAUCGGAGAGUAGAACUGCGCGGGAGAAGCUGAUCAGAAUUCUCAUGGAACAGCACAAGUGUCCUGAGGAAGGCUGGGACGAUGCCAGCAUUGAGCUGUUUCUGAAUGACCUGGCCCUCAUGGACAGCAACAAUUUCCCCCAUAACUGCGGCGUUGGGGAACGCGAAGCAAGAAUAUAUUCAGGCUUGGUGUCAAAACGACACUAUCGUCUAGGUCAUGGUAUCGGACGCUCAGGGGACAUUGCAGAGGUACAGCCAAAAGCUGCAGGCUCAAGUCUCAUGAAUAAGCUGACGAAUUGUAUGGUGUUAGAUCUUAUCAGAGCUACAGGUGUAAGAAAGACUGCUGCUUGCCUGGUGGUUCCUCUUGCAACUGGAAUGAGUAUGGUGCUUUGUCUUUUGACCGUUAGGCAGCAACGGCCAGGUGCAAAGUACGUCAUCUGGCCUCGUAUUGACCAGAAGUCCUGCUUUAAGGCCAUCAUCACAGCAGGAUUUGAACCAGUUGUGAUUGAGAAUUGCUUGGAUGGGGAUGAAUUAAGGACGGACGUAGCAGAGAUUGAUCGACAGAUUACAGCCCUGAAGCCUGAGUCCAUUGCUGCAGUAAUGACAACAACAAGUUGCUUUGCUCCAAGAGGGAUUGACAAGCUUGAAGAUGUUGCUCGGUUAUGUUCAAGAUAUGGGGUUCCUCACAUUAUAAAUAAUGCAUAUGGCGUCCAAUCAACCAAGUGCAUGCACCAUAUUCAGGAAGCUGCAAGGGUAGGUCGUGUGGAUGCCUUUGUGCAGAGCACCGACAAGAACUUCAUGGUUCCAGUUGGAGGAGCUGUUAUUGCAGGAUUUGAUAGCGCUUUCAUCCAGCAAGUGGGCAAAAUGUACCCUGGACGUGCAUCAGGCAGCCCUGUGGUGGACCUGUUUAUUACAUUACUCUCCAUGGGUAUCAGAGGUCACAAGAAAUUACUAGAAGAUAGAAAGGCGCUGAAGAGUCUGCUAACGCAGCGAAUGGAGGGAGUAGCUGAGAAAUAUGGUCUUAGAGUUCUAAAUACCAAAAAUAAUCCUAUUUCCAUAGCUAUGACUCUGCCGGAAAAUAUGAACAUACCACUGACUGAACUUGGGUCAAGAUUGUUCCUCCGAGGUGUAUCAGGAACAAGAGUCAUUAGAACAUCGGAUGACAAAAUGAUUGCUGGCACGAGAUUUAUUGGUUGGGGCAGUCAUUCAAAAAGUUAUCCAUAUGCAUACCUGACUGCUGCUGCAAGUAUUGGCAUGACAGAAGAGGAUGUAGACCUCUUUAUCCAACGUCUUGACAAGUGUCUGGAGAAGUUCACAGGCACAAAAAAUACAAAGGAAACAUAUGGAUCAGAGAAUGACGUGACAAGACGGGAUUCAAAAUCGUACACAAGAGGAAGCAAAGGAGAAAUCAAUGGCUAAGUGUGCAGAUGUUGAAAACAAAGGAAGGAGAGGAAGAGAUGUUUCGCCAGUGAUUCUAUGCCCCAGAGGAGACAAACCCCACAGUCCUCCUGUGCGUCCAUGAUUGUCUUAACAGGAGAUAAGGAGUAGAUUGAAAUUUUUUUCUGAAGUUGGCUCAAUUGCAAAUGUUUUCCCUCGAGGCAAUAUUAAUUUACUGUGGAAGUCAUACAAUAUAUUCUUCAGCAACUGGAUUUUGGAUCCUCUGACGCCAUUUUAUUUAGGGAUUAAUAAUCUUUUAAAUAUGAAUUAUGAAGAGUUGAAAGAUGAGACUGUACAUGUUUGGAAUAAUUGUGAACUAUAUUGAUUAUGGAGGAGGGUUGACUAGCUGCCGUUCACGUGGUUAUUGCUGGUGCUGCUGUCAUACUUGUAAGAAAUUGUUUGAGAUCACCAAGGUUGUAUGUUGCCCCCUAUCUAUAGGUGACUCUCCAUUUCUAGGUGGAUGUCACAGUUUCUCAGAGGAAAAUUAGCAAGUCUCCAACUCUGCUUUCGCAAUUUGGACAGAAUUCGGCCUUUUAAGUUUCAGAACAAC
rnacentral:misc_RNA from 1 species